UGCAAAGAACAGACUCGAGGCGAAACAGGGAGUUUUCUUGUCUCAUGGCAGGGGGCGCUCAUGAUCCCAGACAUUGGUUUUGUGACUCCACAACUACAGCGUAAGGGACAGCGAGCUAGGCAUACAGUUAAUAAGUGCAGCAAUAUUUCUAUUGUUUUCUACUCUCUUCUGACGUCAACAUGGAUGACUACAUUUCUACACUUAGUUUUCUAGAGAGGAUUUUCAAUUGAACCACGAAAUAAUAACAAAAGGAAGACCAACACCAGAGCUGAAAGGUUUUCUUCGAGACAGUUUGCUGAUUCUCAAGCAGAGUGGGAUACAAGAAAAAACAUGUCGAGGAUAGACUUGGCUUUGAUGGAACGGAUAUUUUUGUGCAGAAUGAGCUACGCGUGGACUUCGUUUACAAGUAAAGGGCAGGGGAGACUUAAUUGCCUCAUUAGGAAAAGGGCCGAAGAGGAUUCGGUCUCCUCCACAUUGUUCAAUGUCAGGAGUGCAACUGAGAGGAAAGGUUAAUAGCGUAAACAGUGUUUCUAUCUUCUAAAUGUAAAAAUGUUUAUUUUCCACUAUGAUGGAGUAUAACGCAGCCUGCUGCUGCUGCUGUGUUGCAACUCCCAAAGCUUCCCCUUUUAAGCUUGGAUCCGUCUAGGAAGCAGAGUCAUCAUGCCAACUUUAAUUAUUUUAAGAGCUUUAAUUUGCAAACUCUGCUAUUUCCACAUCCGCAGCUGCUUUGAGUCCCAGACAGCAAAUCAAGCCAAAAGGCAAACACUCUUGAUUUGCCUCUAAAGAAAGACACACAAAACAAAAAUGAUGUCUGCCGCUGAGAGAAAAUGCGAUCUAAAAAAAGCCCAACGGUUAAUAACUUUUGAGAGAGGCAUUAAAUUCAGAGAGCGCCACAGUUUUCCUCUUGCAGCUGCAGCAUUCACACACCGAAACAGAUCACUAUCUACCAUCUAGAAAUCACAGUGAAAUUAUUUUGUACUGAACAUGACAGUUUGGACAACACUGCCAAACCAUGAAAGGCAUCUUGAAUGUUGUCCUAAGCCCCUGUCUGCCUCUUGACAAGAGAUGUGCUGCUGUGUAAGUUCAGUCUGACAAAAUCCAUGACGGGCCAGGCUAAACAGGCAGAGUAUGACUCAAAGAGCGAAAUGUGUUGUCCUUCUCUUACAAAGACCUUCCAGUCCUGUAAUGAAUGCAGCAACUGUGCAGGAACACAAACACAUCCGACGUUUACUUUAGGACUAUAAAAAUCCUGCGCAGCCUCCCCGGUCUCAGCGGAAAUGGGUCCCAUUUUGGAGAACACCGUAUAGAAACGGUGCAAGAUAUAAGCGCGCCGUUCGUACUGCAGGUAAUUCAGGCUGCGCUCUCUGCUCGUCGUCACUGCAGGGGCAGUUUACAGCAGAGGCUACAAUAAAAAAUGAGCAGCUACACAUCUGCAUGGGCAAUAUAGCGUAAAGGCUCCAUUUCAUCAACAAGUCAAGUCUAACGAGUUGGAAGAAAAAAGGUGGUGGUGCCAUCUGUUCCGAACCACUUUGCUUGGAUAGGGAAAACAAAGUAAGAGGACAAGCGAGGGGGAGAAAAGCUUUCUCAGCAUUGAGACUACCAGCCACAGCCCGAGUGCUGGGAAAAAAAAAAGUCCUUAUCUCCUGUGAUAAAAAAUGUCCUCAACCUUCCAGGCCUAAUAAAGACACUGUGUUCCUUAAUGUUAAUACUGGAGGGACGACUGAAGUGCAACUUCUGACGCUAGGUAUUUAAUAUGUGGGAACCUUGAAUCUGAUUAGAGAUAUUUACUAUGUGUUUUUUUUUUCUACUUUGCCUUUUUUUUGCUGUGCUAUCUAAAGCCAAGGAGCUUGCAGUGUGGUUGGAUAAUUAAAUCAUCCAUCACACAACAUCCGCAACGAAACACGACAAGAUG